rnacentral:rRNA from 1 species
GAGAAAUCGGUGCUAAUACCGCAUAAUGCAGCGGCACCUAAUGGUGACAGUUCAAAAAUCAAAAAGAUCGUAAGACCUCGCGUCUGAAGAGGAGCCUGCGGCGGAUUAGCUAGUUGGUAAGGUAACGGCUUACCAAGGCUAUGAUCCGUAACCGGCCUGAGAGGGCGGUCGGUCACACUGACACUGACAUACGGGUCAGACUCCUACGGGAGGCAGCAGUCGGGAAUUUUGGGCAAUGGGCGAAAGCCUGACCCAGCAACGCCGCGUGAAGGAUGAAAUCCCUUGUUUUUUUUAACUUCGCAAGAACGGGAAGAAUAAGUCUGCGUGAAUAUCGCAGGCGAUGACGGUACCGUUUGUAAGCUCCGGCUAACUCCGUGCCAGCAGCCGCGGUAAUACGGGGGGAGCAAGCGUUGUUCGGAUUUACUGGGCGUAAAGGGCGGGUAGGCGGCCACUGCAAGUCGAUUGUGAAAUCUCCGGGCUUAACCCGGAAAGG